GACGGAGGAUGCAAGAGUUAUGCGGAAUCACUGGGCGUAAAGCGUCUGUAGGUGGUCAAAUAAGUCAACUGUUAAAUCUUGAGGCUCAACCUCAAAAUCGCAGUCGAAACUAUUAGACUAGAGUAUAGUAGGGGUAAAGGGAAUUUCCAGUGGAGCGGUGAAAUGCGUAGAGAUUGGAAAGAACACCGAUGGCGAAGGCACUUUACUGGGCUAUUACUAACACUGAGAGACGAAAGCUAGGGUAGCAAAGGGG
rnacentral:rRNA from 1 species